GCAUACGUGCAUGCCUACAUAGUUUUGACUUUCACUAAUUCCUGGAAUGUAGCAGCUCUUCCUCAGGGCCCAGGAAGCUUUUCCAGCUACCAUGUCCUUCCCUCUCCCAGAGACAUCUCUCCCCACAUCCCACAGUACUGCCUUUUAAAAUUAUGUCCAAUUUCAGUGUCAACGUGACCUCUUCAAAGACGACUUCUCAGAUAAUCUAAAGUGAAAUUUUUCUCUUUUCAAAGCAUCCUGUUUUUCCCUUCACGUACACUGGGCCAAAUUUUCCUCAUAUAUUUAAUUCCCUCAACCACUUUAUGAAGUAUAGACUAUGUUUCAUCACAUAGAGAAUGAAAAGCAGCUUCAUGAUGUUAAGGUAGAAAAAUAUUCAAGAACUCACAGAUUGGAAGAUGUACAACUGGGGUUUAAACACUGUUGUUCAUACAGCUGAA
rnacentral:lncRNA from 1 species